UGAAAUGCGUAGAGAUGUGGAGGAAUACCGAAGGCGAAGGCAGCCCCUUGGGAAUGUACUGACGCUCAUGUGCGAAAGCGUGGGGAGCAAACAGGAUUAGAUACCCUGGUAGUCCACGCUGUAAACGCUGUCGAUUUGGGGAUUGAGCUUAAAGCUUGGUGCCCGUAGCUAACGUGAUAAAUCGACCGCCUGGGGAGUACGGCCGCAAGGUUAAAACUCAAAUGAAUUGACGGGGGCCCGCACAAGCGGUGGAGCAUGUGGUUUAAUUCGAUGCAACGCGAAGAACCUUACCUACUCUUGACAUCCAUGGAAUCCUGUAGAGAUACGGGAGUGCUUCGGGA
rnacentral:rRNA from 1 species